CCAUGCACGUCUAAGUACUCGCCUUGUCUAUUAAAGUGAAACCGCGAAUGGCUCAUUAAAUCAGUUAUGGUUCACUAGAUCGUACCUAAUCCUACUCGGAUAACUGUGGUAAUUCUAGAGCUAAUACAUGCAACUAGGCCCUGCCCGGCCGCCUUCACGGGCGGUCGGAAAGGGCGCCAUUAUCAGCCCAAAACCGACCGGGUUGCCCCUUGGGGCUCCCGUCCUUAUACCCUUUGACGACUCUGGAUAACCUUCUAGCGGAUCGCCGGUGAACUAGGUCGGCCGGGCGGCAACGUCCGCGUCCGACCUACGGCGACUAGUCUUUCGAAUGUCUGCCUUAUCAACUGUCGACGGUAGGUUAGACGCCUACCGUGGUCGUAACGGGUGACGGGGAAUCAGGGUUCGAUUCCGGAGAGGGAGCCUGAGAAACGGCUACCACAUCCAAGGAAGGCAGCAGGCACGCAAAUUACCCAAUCCCUGCACGGGGAGGUAGUGACGAAAAAUAACGAUACGGGACUCUUAACGAGGCCUCGUAAUCGGAAUGAGUCCGCUCUAAAUCCUUUAACGAGGAUCUAUCGGAGGGCAAGUCUGGUGCCAGCAGCCGCGGUAAUUCCAGCUCCGAUAGCGUAUAUUAAAGUUGCUGCGGUUAAAAAGCUCGUAGUUGGAUUUGGGUUUUCGGGCCGGNNNNNNNNNNNNNNNNNNNNNNNNNNNNNNNNNNGCGCCCCCGGAACCGCACGGUCGCAGAGGCCCCCGCGGUGCUCUUGAAUGAGUGUCCGCGGUCUCGGGUCGCCGAACGUUUACUUUGAAAAAAUUAGAGUGCUCCAGGCAGGCCGGUAAAGCGUUUUUAAACCCGCGCCUGAAUAGUCACGCAUGGAAUAAUGAAAGAGGACCGGUGGUCCUAUUUUGUUGGUUUUCGGGAUUUUCCGCCGUCAUGAUUAAGAGGGACGGCCGGGGGCAUUCGUACCGCGGCGCGAGAGGUGAAAUUCUAGGACCGUCGCGAGACGAACCGUUGCGAAAGCAUUUGCCAAGAAUGUUUUCCUUAAUCAAGAACGAAAGUCAGAGGUUCGAAGGCGAUCAGAUACCGCCCUAGUUCUGACCGUAAACGAUGCCACCUGACGAUCCGCCAGGGUUACUACCAUGACUCGGCGGGCAGCCCCCGGGAAACCCAAGCCUUCGGGUUCCGGGGGAAGUAUGGUUGCAAAGCUGAAACUUAAAGGAAUUGACGGAAGGGCACCACCAGGAGUGGAGCCUGCGGCUUAAUUUGACUCAACACGGGGAACCUCACCCGGCCCGGACACCGCGAGGAUUGACAGAUUGAGAGCUC
rnacentral:rRNA from 1 species